rnacentral:rRNA from 1 species
AUUGAACGCUGGCGGCAUGCUUUACACAUGCAAGUCGAACGGUAACAGGCCGCAAGGUGCUGACGAGUGGCGAACGGGUGAGUAAUGCAUCGGAACGUGCCCAGUCGUGGGGGAUAACUACUCGAAAGAGUAGCUAAUACCGCAUACGAUCUAUGGCUGAAAGCGGGGGACCGUAAGGCCUCGCGCGAUUGGAGCGGCCGAUGUCAGAUUAGGUAGUUGGUGGGGUAAAGGCUCACCAAGCCAACGAUCUGUAGCUGGUCUGAGAGGACAACCAGCCACACUGGGACUGAGACACGGCCCAGACUCCUACGGGAGGCAGCAGUGGGGAAUUUUGGACAAUGGGCGCAAGCCUGAUCCAGCAAUGCCGCGUGCAGGAAGAAGGCCUUCGGGUUGUAAACUGCUUUUGUACGGAACGAAACGGCUCUGGUUAAUACCCGGGGCUAAUGACGGUACCGUAAGAAUAAGCACCGGCUAAGUACGUG